AGAACGCAGCGAAAUGCGAUAAGUAAUGUGAAUUGCAGAAUUCAGUGAAUCAUCGAAUCUUUGAACGCACCUUGCGCUCUUUGGUAAUCCGAAGAGCAUGCCUGUUUGAGUGUCAUGAAAUUCUCAACCUUUCAAGCUUUUCAAAAGCUAGUCAGGCUUGGAUCUUGGAAGCUUGCUGGCUCUAGUAGCUCAGCUCUUCUUAAAUGCAUUAGCGAGAUUAAUCACUAAAUCAUCUUUGAUAUGAUAAUUAUCUAUAUCAUCAAUGAAACAGUGUGUUUGUCUGCUUCUAAUCUAUCUAUAUUGAAUCAU
rnacentral:misc_RNA from 1 species